GAUGAAGAACGCAGCGAAAUGCGAUAAGUAGUGUGAAUUGCAGAAGUACCGUGAAUCAUCGAAUCUUUGAACGCAAAUUGCACUCUCUGGUAUUCCGGGGAGUAUGCCUGUUUGAGGGUCGCUUAACAAACCAUCGAUUUCGUUGCUUUUUUUUUAAAAAGUGAUGUUUAUCGGAUUUGAGCCGUCUUUUUUUUUUAUAUUUAAGUGGCUUAAAAUUGAUUUUUUUUGUACGAUCGAAGCGUAUUUUUAUGAUCAAUUUUUGGUUAAAGAAACGCACACGUACCGUUAUUUAUAUGAUGUAAUACGUUUGACUAUUGGAUUUAGUUCAUUCGUAUACGAUAUUUUUCAAUAUUUGACCUCAAAUCAGGUAAGAACACCCGCUGAACUUAAGCAUAUCAAUAAGCGGAGGA
rnacentral:misc_RNA from 1 species